rnacentral:tRNA from 1 species
AGUCUUAUAGUCAACUAUGAUUUUAAAUUGCAAAUUUAAAGGUAAGUAAUUUUUAAGGCUU